CCAUUAGGAGACCAAAGAUGGUCAAAUAACAGGAAUAGUGACUUUGGAAAGAAGGUAUUAGGCUCAGAAGGAUAAUCUGCAGCAAUGUGUCAAAUCUGAGAUGAAGAGGCCAAGAUAAGAUAUGCCAGCAGAAUCUUCUGGUUUUGUCGCUAUGAGGAUACAGGAUGAUGACAUGACCUGUUGACCUCAGGAAAACACGGACCUCACAAUGGCGGGUGAGAGAGAUAUUGAAAUACUGAACUACCAAAAGGUCCCCCCUCAACAAGGACAAGUAGCCAGAGGUUGGGGAGGGAAUCUGUCAUAGUAAUUGCCUCCUCCUCUGGGUGAGAGAACUGACUGCUGUGACAGAACUCUGAAGCUGCUACUUGACCCCAGUGUCCAAGUCCCAUCAUAGCCUGACGCAUUUGUAAACUGGGAGGAGUAACCUACCUCAGAGGUUUGCUUGCAAAGGCAAAACAAAUAAAGGUUGGAAAGCACCUCCCCAAUUAAAAUCCUUGUUUAGGGAAGCUUUUAAUGUUUGAUGCAUUACUGUAUUUUAAUAUUGUGUUGGAAGCCGCCCAGAGUGGCUGGGGAAACCCACCCAGAUGGGCGGGGUAUAAAUAAUAAAUUAUUAUUAUUAUUAUUCCAUCAAGUAGCGUUGAUGUGCUCCAUUUUUUGACCAGGGCCAACAUUGGUGUGGCCAGGCACCUGUCCAAGACCCAUGCUCCUGCAAGAGUCUCCUUCCCUUCAAUAAUGCCGCUUGUGGGCCUGCCCCUUGUCUCUGGCUCAUGAAGGAAAUGGCGGGAGGGAGGAGCACAAGCAGCAGCCAAUAGCAAGUGCUGCAAGAAGAAGUGGGGACUGGGUUACUUGACAGAACUGGAUUUAACAAAGUAGAACACUGAUCCAUUUUAAAUGUAUACAUGGCCAACAGGAUUCCACCACAACACUGAUAAAAGCCAAUUCCCAAAGUUCCAUCUGGAGGAGGCUGCCAUCAGCCAUCAGCCAACGUCCUGCUUUCUUACUUACAACCAGGCUGGCACUGGCUGCCAGCUCCCUCCUCCUUAGUAUAAAAGUCAGCAGGGAGGAGGAUGGAGGCAAAACAAGGAUUAGCCUCUGAUUUGUUGUGUUGUCACCUACUGUUGCCCUCCCUGCUUCUGCCCUACCAGUGCUCAGGACUACAAUACCUCAAGGACCGCCUCUUUCCAUGUGAACCUAUCCGGACCCUGAGAUCAUCUUAUGAGGCCCUUCUUUGUGUGCCUCCUCCUUGCAAGAUCUGGAGGGUGGCAACACAAUAAUGAGCCUUCUCUGCAGUGGCUCCCCAUCUGUGGAAUGCUCUCCCAGGAAAGUUUACCUGGCACCUUCAUUAUACACCUUUAGGUGCCAGGCAAAAGCAUUCCUUUUUAACCAGGCCUUUGGUUGAUCUAAUUGACAUCCUAUGCCCUUUUAAAAUGUGGCUCUUUUUUGGGGAGGGGGGUUAUUUGGUUGUUGUUUUUAUUUUGAUUGUAUAUAUUGUGGUUUUGAUGUUGAUCUUUUCUGUGAACUGCCCUGAGACCUCCGGGUAUAGGGCAAUAUAUAAAUUCAAAAAAGAAUAAGAAUACCAAAUGGAUACCACCCGCCACUGGCUCCAUCGUAUUAUACCUUCAAAAGCACGCACCUCAGAGAGGUAUUUCCUCACCUGUGUUCCUACAACAUGCAGGCCCUCAAUCUUCACGCCCACCUCAUUUGUCAUAACAACAGGCAUUUUGAUAAUGUGCUCCCAAAGUACUAUGGGAAUGUUACAGUGAUUCUUUCUUUAUAAAUCAAAGUUAUAAUUAAAGGAGGGUGAGGGGGAAUGGAAAUGCCUAAGCAGAGUUCUUCAGCUGUUCAUCAAAAUUCUGCAAGAUUCAGAUUACAGGAACUCUUUAUCAGUUCUUAAAUUGCUCGCAACCCCUCACCUCAUAGCCUGAGGGUGUACAAUGUAAAAACGGAGAGAACAUUCUCGGUGCAUUUCCGUGCUCUUACACGGCAUUUAUAAUAACAGAGGCGCGAGCAAUCUUUAUGUAAGAAUAUGCAUUUUGUCUUGAUGACUGGGGGCAGGUGAAGAAUGUUACAGCUAUGAAUUUAAAGCACGCACACAAUUCUGGAGUCUGCGGUGUCUGGAUUACUAAACAUCUCUAAGUGCCUUCGGGAAAUGCAUGGAGGUGGGGUUGCUGAUGGCAGGGCCAUUCAUUUAUUUUCAAAAAUAGAAGGUGCCGUGGCAGACAAAAAUAGUCAUCCAUCUUCUGCUCUAUUCCAGGAGCAAUGCCCUGAAUCUGAAGCCAGAAGGCAAGGGCCAUGGUCCAAGACACACAUCCAUGCCUGUAAAUAAAUGCAUUUGAGUCAAAAGCCA